AUCCCAUGAUGAGGACAGGUGGCGACUUACUCCUACAGACGCUCCCAAGCUUCUGGUAUGGAUUCCUCCAUCUGCUGGAAAUUGGAAAUUCUCCUGCGAAGGGC
rnacentral:snoRNA from 1 species